AUGUCAACAUGUGACGCAGGAGAGUCGGAGCUCGUCGGUGGAGGCGGAGAGACGUCAGCGACGCCUCCGGACAGCAGCGCGCGGCGAGCAGCGCGAGCGCCGCGGACGACGCCUGCCAGUUCCUUUUCAGUGGCCCUGCAGGCGAGCUCACGCACGCACCUCCGCGCCAGCAGUUCAAGUUCCUGCCAUGGAUCCACACAAUGCAGAGAACAGCAGUAUGAAAACAUUGGUGAGAGGUUCAAGCAGGAAAAUCAUGAUGAUGAAACCCCGACUGGAAAACUGUGUCAGCCAUCAGCCAUCGGACAGGAAGAAACACACCAAGCACUUGUAUUAAGUUCAGACAGACUAGGAAAGAAAGAAGCUGCGCACCAGAAGCCCAACAGAUCCAGAAUCACCUCCUGCCUCUUCUUCAGACUCUCCAGAAAUCUGGGCCUUGAUGAGCCCAAUUUAACACUCCAAAAUUUCGACCCCUGCUUGCACAGUUCAACUGAAACACAGCAGGUUGAGACUGAGGAUAGCAGCUUCCAGAGUAACCUGUUUGUCAAGGCCCUAAGCUCUUAAAUAGCCACACCAUGGGAACAUGAGCUUCAGCAAAGCUCACGUCUCUGCCAUCGCACAGUUUACACUUCAAACAGCAGGCCACUGUCGCAUACUUACUGUAAAUUCCAGAAAGUGUUUUAGCAUGUAAGUAAGUUGCAUUUCCUAUAAGAAUUACUUUAACGAUGGCGCUAUAGAUGAUGUGUGGCAGCAAUACAAACAUCUAGUGAAAGAUUGUGUGUGGUCAUAUAAAUUGCUCCCCAAAAUGUAUUCUAAAACAUUGAAAUGCAGA
ensembl:lncRNA